UGCAUGUGCAUGACUGCUUCUCACACAUGUGUGCAUGUGCAUGUGUGUUUCUCGCGGACAAUAUGGCUUCCAGACAGAACAUGCAACUGCCUGCCAGCCACA
rnacentral:miRNA from 1 species